UGCAAAUGUACUUUUUGCCUAUGGGUGUC
rnacentral:piRNA from 1 species